rnacentral:rRNA from 1 species
UGGGGAAUAUUGGACAAUGGGCGAAAGCCUGAUCCAGCCAUGCCGCGUGUGUGAAGAAGGUCUUCGGAUUGUAAAGCACUUUAAGUUGGGAGGAAGGGCAGUAAGCGAAUACCUUGCUGUUUUGACGUUACCGACAGAAUAAGCACCGGCUAACUCUGUGCCAGCAGCCGCGGUAAUACAGAGGGUGCAAGCGUUAAUCGGAAUUACUGGGCGUAAAGCGCGCGUAGGUGGUUCGUUAAGUUGAAUGUGAAAGCCCCGGGCUCAACCUGGGAACUGCAUCCAAAACUGGCGAGCUAGAGUAGGGCAGAGGGUGGUGGAAUUUCCUGUGUAGCGGAGAAAUGCGUAGAUAUAGGAAGGAACACCAGUGGCGAAGGCGACCACCUGGGCUCAUACUGACACUGAGGUACGAAAGCAUGGGGAGCAAACAGG